AAGGAUAAGAUAAAUAAGACCUUUUUGUCUUAAUGGAUAUUAAUUUGUAAAGGAAAGAGGAAUACCCAAUAUAUUGGUUUUUCCGACCAUUAUAUUGGGUAAGGAAAGAAAUAUACCCGGGGGUCUCGAAAACCCCUCGAUUGGGUAACUCGAUUGGGUAAGCAUAGCCGGGGGUCUCGAAAAUCUCUUUAUUGGAUAAGCAUACUCAAUUGGUCUCAAAUUGGAUAAGCAUACUCAGUUGGUCUAAAAACCCAAUAUGGUAAGGAAAGAAAAGUAAUUGAUCUAGAAAAGUUCAGCAAUAUGGUAAGGAAAGAGAAAUACUCAAUAUAUGGGUCUUAAAAAUCCAUGGGUAUUUCUCUUUUUUUUUUGCUUUGUUUGAUCCCWAUUUUUUUGUCUUCUUCAUUACARAUUUAUUAUCGUUAUCGUUUCUUGCAUCUCUCGCGAAAUUCCGGGUAGGC
rnacentral:misc_RNA from 1 species